GACCGCUCCGAUAGCCUAGUUGUUGGAGCUACCGUCUCAGAUGCGGGAGGUUCCGGGUUCUAACCCCGCUCGAGUCA